AAUCAUGGCUCAGGAUGAACGCUGGCGGCGCGCCUAACACAUGCAAGUCGAACGGUUAAGACGCACUUCGGUGCGUGCAUAGAGUGGCGAACGGCUGAGUAACACGUGGGCAACCUGCCCCCCGCACCGGGAUAGCCUCGCGAAAGCGUGAUUAAUACCGGGUACUCCGGCACCUCCGCAUGGCGGUGCCGGGAGAGCGUUAGCGGCGGGGGAUGGGCCCGCGGCCUGUUAGCUAGUUGGCGGGGCAACGG
rnacentral:rRNA from 1 species